AUGCUCACUUCAACAGUACAUAUACUAAAAUCUGAAUGAUAGAGAAGAUUUGCAUGGCCCUGCACAAGGAUAACAUGUAAAUUCCAUAAGAAAGAAAUAAAGAA